GCCGAGGUAGCCAAGUGGCCAAAGGCGACGGACUCAAGAUCCGUUCUCGUAGGAGUUCGUGGGUUCAAAUCCCAUCCUCGGCACCA
rnacentral:tRNA from 1 species